CCCAUGGGGCUCUGAGAUGGCGCUGCGGGUCCUGCUGGCUCUGGGGCUGCUGCUGGGGGGGGGCGCGGGGGGGGCUCGAGUUUCCUCCUCUCUGUCGGCUUCACACCGCGCUCGAGGCGCCGCCCCCGUUCAUCACUUCCAUCGAACCCGGCCCGGCGCCGCCCCCGUCAGCAUCAAUAGGGGGGGGGGCGGCCCCCGCGGCCACGGUGAGCUUCGGCCUCGCCUUCCUCAUCCUCGUCUUCAUCUUCCUCUUCAUCGUCGCCUUUGGCCUCGCGUUUGUUGUUGUUUUGGUCCUCGUUUUCAUCAUUUUCAUCCACAUCCUCGCUUUCGUCAUCAUCGUCAUCAUCAUCAUCCUCAGCUUCGGCCUCGCUUUCCUCAUCUUCAUCCUUCUCCUCCUCCUCUUCCUCAUCCUCAUCCUCGUCUUCAUCUUCAUCUUCCUCUUCAUCGUCACUUUUGGCCUCGCGUUCGUUGUCGUUUUGGUCCUCGUUUUCAUCAUUUUCAUCCCCAUCCUCGCUUUCAUCAUCAUCGUCAUCAUCAUCAUCCAUAUCUUCGGCCUCGCUUUCCUCAUCUUCAUCCUUCUCCUCCUCCUCUUCCUCCUCCUCAUCCUCGUCUUCAUCUUCAUCUUCCUCCUCAUCGUCACCUUUGGCCUCGCGUUCGUCGUCGUUUUUGUCCUCAUUUUCAUCAUCUUCAUCCCCAUCCUCGCUUUCAUCAUCAUCAUUGUCAUCAUCAUCCACAUCUUCGGCCUCACCUUCAUCCUCAUCCCCAUCCUCAUCCUCCUCAUCUUCAUCUUCCUCCUCAUCGUCGCCUUUGGCCUCGCGUUUGUUGUUUUGGUCCUCANNNNNNNNNNNNNNNNNNNNNNNNNNNNNNNNNNNNNNNNNNNNNNNNNNNNNNNNNNNNNNNNNNNNNNNNNNNNNNNNNNNNNNNNNNNUCCGCAUCCUCUUCCUCAUCCUCUUCCUCAUCCUCAUCCUCGUCUUCAUCUUCAUCUUCCUCCUCAUCGUCUCCUUUGGCCUCGCGUUCGUUGUUGUUUUGGUCCUCGUUUUCAUCAUCUUCAUCCACAUCCUCGCUUUCAUCAUCAUUGUCAUCAUCAUCCACAUCUUCAGCCUCGCUUUCCUCAUCUUCAUCCUCAUCCUCCUCCUCUUCCUCAUCCUCAUCCUCGUCUUCAUCUUCAUCUUCCUCCUCUUCGUCACCUUUGGCCUCGCGUUUGUUGUUGUUUUGGUCCUCGUUUUCAUCAUUUUCAUCCACAUCCUCGCUUUCGUCAUCAUCGUCAUCAUCAUCCUCAGCUUCAGCCUCGCUUUCCUCAUCUUCAUCCUCCUCCUCAUCCUCUUCCUCCUCCUCAUCCUCGUCUUCAUCUUCCUCCUCAUCGUCGCCUUUGGCCUCGCGUUCGUUGUUGUUUUCGUCCUCAUGUUCAUCAUCUUCAUCCCCAUCCUCGCUUUCAUCAUCAUCGUCAUCAUCAUCAUCCUCAGCAUCGUCCUCAUCUUCGGCCUCACCUUCAUCAUCAUUCUCAUCCUCAUCGUCCUCAUCCUCAUCAUCCUCAUCAUUUUCAUUCUCACUUUCAUCAUCAUCCUCAUCCUCAUCUUCAUCAUCAUCCUCAUCCUCAUCAUCCCUCAUCCUCCUUCUCAUCGUCAUCCUCAUCAUCCCUCAUCAUCCUCAUCAUCAUCAUCCUUAUCCUUAUCUUCAUCAUCCUCAUCAUCUUCCUCCUCACCACCAUCCUCAUCUUCAUCCCCAUCCUCCUCCUCCUCUUCUUCCCUUUUCUUUCUUUACUUCCUCCUCACCCUCUUCUUCUUCACCUUCCCUUCUUUCCUCUUCAUUUUCUUCUUCCUCCUCCUCUUCCUCUUCUUCCUCUUCCUCACCUUCCUCGUCCUCAUUUCCUCCCUCCUCCUUGUCCUCACCGUCCUCUUCCUCAUUUUCUUCCUCUUCUCCACUUUCCUCCUCUUCCUCACUCUCCUUUUCCUUCUCGUCCUCCUUUUCCUCAUUCUACUUCCUCCUCUUCCUCCUCACCUUCUUCCUCCUCUUCCUCGCCUUCAUAUUCGUUCUCCUUUUCUUCCUCCUCUUCCU
rnacentral:lncRNA from 1 species